CAGUGCACGGUGGAUCGGUCGGUCGUCCACAGAGCCAGGGCGCGGUCCACAGGAAUAGUUACGCGGUCCACAGGUGUGGCUCAUAGCGAGAGAAAGAUUUGGGCGCGAUCCAAUGGUUGAGAUUCAAUCAGACUCAGAUCCAACGGUUCAGACUCGUUACCGACUUUGAAUAGGACUCUUUUGCGCAAUCCGACGGCCCAGAAGCAAUCCAUCAUGCGAUCCAAUGGCUGUUAUCGUUCCCGACUUUGAAUAGGACUCUUUUGCGCAAUCCGACGGCCAGAACUUCAUCAGAACCCAGAUCUAAUGGCUGACAUUUGAUCCGACCC
rnacentral:lncRNA from 1 species